rnacentral:rRNA from 1 species
GGCGUAAGGGUUUGUAGGCAGCUUUAAAUUAAUUAAAGAUUGAAUCAUAUAGAAGUCAAGAGAAUUAGUAGAUUAGGGUUGAUAUCCGUAUAAACUAUUAAGAAUUCUAAUUAGCGAAGGCACUUUUCUAUCUACUGAUUGACGCUGAGAAACGAAGGGGAGGAAACAAAACAGGAUUAGAUACCCUAAUAUCCCUCUCUGUAAACGAUGAAUGGUAGUUGCUAGUAAUAAUAAUUAGUGACGAGGCUAACGCGUUAACCAUUCCGCCUUGUGAGUACGACUGCAAAGUUGAAAACAAAAAAAUUAGUCGGUUUCGGAGCAAACGAAGUGAAGCAUGUUAUUUAAUUCGAUAAUCCGC